GGUAGCUCAGUGGUAGAAUGCUUGCCUUGCAUGCAUGAGGCCCUGGGUUCAAUUCCCCAGUACCA
rnacentral:tRNA from 1 species